CCUACGGGUGGCAGCAGUAGGGAAUAUUGCUCAAUGGGGGAAACCCUGAAGCAGCAACGCCGCGUGGAGGAUGAAGGUUUUCGGAUUGUCAACUCCUUUUGUUAGAGAAGAUAAUGACGGUAUCUAACGAAUAAGCACCGGCUAACUCCGUUCCAGCAGCCGCGGUAAUACGGAGGGUGCAAGCGUUACGCGGAAUCACUGGGCGUAAAGCGCGCGUAGGCGGGAUAGCAAGUCAGAUGUGAAAUCCUAGGGCUUAACCAUAGAACUGCAUUUGAAACUGGUAGUCUAGAGUAUGGGAGAGGUAGGUGGAAUGCUUGGUGUAGGGGUAAAAUCCGUAGAGAUCAAGAGGAAUACUGAUUGCGAAGGCGACCUGCUAGACCAUAACUGACGUUGAUGCGCGAAAGCGUGGGGAGCAAACAGGAUUAGAUACCCGGGUAGUC
rnacentral:rRNA from 1 species